GUCUCUGUAGCGCAAUGGAUAGCUCGUUGGACUUCGAAUCCAAAGGUCGUGGGUCCGAAUCCCACCUGGGGUG
rnacentral:tRNA from 1 species